rnacentral:rRNA from 1 species
GGAAGGUGCAAGCGUUAAUCGGAAUUACUGGGCGUAAAGCGCGCGUAGGCGGCUAGAUAAGUCGGGUGUGAAAGCCCUGGGCUCAACCUGGGAACUGCAUUCGAUACUGUCUAGCUGGAGUGUGGUAGAGGGAGGCGGAAUUCCGCAUGUAGCGGUGAAAUGCGUAGAGAUGCGGAGGAACACCAAUGGCGAAGGCAGCCUUCUGGACCAACACUGACGCUGAGGCGCGAAAGCGUGGGGGGAGCAAACAGGAUUAGAUACCCUGGUAGUCCACGCCCGUAAACGAUGUCAACUAGCCGUUGGGAGCAUUUUGGCUCUUGGUGGCGCAGCUAACGCGAUAAGUUGACCGCCUGGGGAGUACGGUCGCAAGAUUA